rnacentral:miRNA from 1 species
CCGGCUCGAUGGCUUUAUGACA